rnacentral:ncRNA from 1 species
CUGUUGGGGUGCCCGAGCGGGCUGAGAUGCGCAAGCGAACCCAUUGAACCUGAACCGGUUAGGACCGGCGGAGGGAACAG